rnacentral:lncRNA from 1 species
GUAUCUGACUCAGGACCUGAUUUAAGGUUUGGGGUUUUUUGGCCCUUUGUUUCUUCCUCUUGUUUUUUGACCUUUAGUUACUCCACACCUCAUUAGUUCCUUGACCUGCAGGUGGACUGAGAAGAGAGCCAUGGUAGCAGGCAAGAGUGUGGUUAUCGUUGGACCAGGAUUCAGGAUCUGACUGAGUAGCUGACUCUUAAUCCAGUUUGUGUUGAUCACCAGGAGGAUCUGGACCUCAGUAUUACCACAUCUAGAGCUAUAAUCACAUCCCUGUUAAGCCUUCCUGAGAUCACACCAAAUGUCCUUGAUGGGAAUUGUAAACAACCCUUACUUCUGGUUUCUAAUGAUAUUCCAGGAAAGGAGCCUAACUAGAGUCAGUGAUAUGCCAACUCCACCUUUGCCUUCCACCAUGUUUGGAAGCUCCCUGAGGCCUCACCAGGAGCAGAUGCUCGUCCCAUGCUUCCUAUAAGCCUGCAGAACUGUGAGCCAUAAUAAACUGUGAAUUAUAAAUUGCCUUUAUAGCAAUGCAAAUGGACCAGUACAGAUGGGAUGCUGGGAAGACAGUUGUUUCCACCUUCAGUAAAGUCCGUGGAACACAGUUGUGACUAUAUUCUAGGCCAGCCAAGAUGCUUGUACUCAGAAAGGAGUGGUCUCAGGACCGUGAUAUGCCAACUCCACCUUUGCCUUCCACCAUGUUUGGAAGCUCCCUGAGGCCUCACCAGGAGCAGAUGCUCGUCCCAUGCUUCCUAUAAGCCUGCAGAACUGUGAGCCAUAAUAAACUGUGAAUUAUAAAUUGCCUUUAUAGCAAUGCAAAUGGACCAGUACAGAUGGGAUGCUGGGAAGACAGUUGUUUCCACCUUCAGUAAAGUCCGUGGAACACAGUUGUGACUAUAUUCUAGGCCAGCCAAGAUGCUUGUACUCAGAAAGGAGUGGUCUCAGGACCAUAAGAAAGUGAAAAAAUAAAAAUAAGAAAAUAAAGAA